AGGAGCCGCUGUAGAAUUCCGUGACGUCACACUAGUUAGGAGGUAGUCGGGAAGCGGUCAUUUUACAUAGCGUGUCAGUAUUUUUUCACCUUUGCGAUGGAGUUUGUAUGUUUAAACGAGGACGAAUACGAAGCGAGCCAACUUAAUGUUAAAAACGAGGAGUGCUGUGUCCAGCCAUAUGCGUUUGAGCCGUUAGUUAGGCGUGAAUUACGGGACAACACCGAGGAAAGUGGAGAAAGUAGGAGUAGCGAUGAUGACCACGCUAGUAGGCCGACAACGUCGUCGUCCGACUCAGAAUCUGCCAGUGAAGAGGAUAUUGGCGACCGUUCCCAUCGACUGACAAAUACUGACUGGUGCAAAUGUGGCAACUGUGUGAUUAUGCCCACAGUGGAUGAAUGCAAGUGCUGCACAGAAACGCACCUUGUUGAUCAGGAAGUCGAGUCAGCUGGGUUGCAAUGUAUAACCUUACAUGAAGGCUUUCAGGGAAACUGCCUCAACCAGUAUGUCCUCAAGGCAUCUUUUGUUGAAUUUUUGGAGGGACAUGGUCCUCUUGGAAAUGAUGAACCAGUAAACGAGAUUUACAGGUACAUUGCAUAUAGAAGAAUGAUCAGAUGGAUUUGGGGACGCAUUGGAAAAGGAAAUAGGAAAGUUCUUCCAUCCUGUGCAGUAAAUAAAAUAAGAGAGACCUGGGAGUCAGCAGACUACACUGGUUUUAAAUAUCCAACUGUGUGAACCUCGACUUCCUAGUUGCCACAACUGUUGGAAAGUUCUCAAAUGGGUGUUCAUGGAUGUCUACAAUGUGGUUCAUCACCGACUUCCACUUGGCCACAACCAGCUCAGCAUUUCCAUCACUGCUUGCCCCACACCAAUAUACAUGGUUGGA